UACGUAGGGGGCUAGCGUUGUCCGGAUUUAUUGGGCGUAAAGAGCGUGUAGGCGGCCAGGUAGGUCUGGUGUGAAAACUCGAGGCUUAACCUCGAGAUGUCAUCGGAAACCAUUUGGCUAGAGUCCGGAAGAGGAGAGUGGAAUUCCUGGUGUAGCGGUGAAAUGCGCAGAUAUCAGGAAGAACACCGAUGGCGAAGGCAGCUCGCUGGGACGGUACUGACGCUGAGACGCGAAAGCGUGGGGAGCAAACAGG
rnacentral:rRNA from 1 species